AAACCAGCACCUCAAGUGGUCAGGAUGAUUAUUGGGCCUAAAGCAUCCGUAGCCGGCUCUGUAAGUUUUCGGUUAAAUCUGUACGCUCAACGUACAGGCUGCCGGAAAUACUGCAGGGCUAGGGAGUGAGAGAGGUAGACGGUACUCGGGAGGAAGGGGUAAAAUCCUUUGAUCUCUCGAUGACCACCUGUGGCGAAGGCGGUCUACCAGAACACGUCCGACGGUGAGGGAUGAAAGCUGGGGGAGCAAACCGUAUUAGAAACCCCGGUAGUCC
rnacentral:rRNA from 1 species